rnacentral:rRNA from 1 species
UGGGGAAUUUUGGACAAUGGGGGAAACCCUGAUCCAGCAAUGCCGCGUGUGCGAAGAAGGCCUUCGGGUUGUAAAGCACUUUUGUCAGGGAAGAAAUCCUUUGGGCUAAUACCCUAGGGGGAUGACGGUACCUGAAGAAUAAGCACCGGCUAACUACGUGCCAGCAGCCGCGGUAAUACGUAGGGUGCAAGCGUUAAUCGGAAUUACUGGGCGUAAAGCGUGCGCAGGCGGUUGUGUAGGACAGGUGUGAAAUCCCCGGGCUUAACCUGGGAAGUGCAUUUGUGACUGCACGACUAGAGUGUGUCAGAGAGGGGUGUAAUUCCACGUGUAGCAGUGAAAUGCGUAGAUAUGUUGAGGAACACCAAUGGCGAAGGCAGCCCCCUGGGAUAACACUGACGCUCAUGCACGAAAGCGUGGGGAGCAAACAGG